rnacentral:rRNA from 1 species
AUUGAACGCUGGCGGCAGGCCUAACACAUGCAAGUCGAGCGGAGCGGCGGACGGGAGAGUAAUGCCUAGGAAUAUGCCUGGUCGUGGGGGAUAACGUCCGGUAACGGACGCGAAUACCGCAUACUAUCAGAUGAGCCUAGGUCGGAGUAGCUAGUUGGGGGGGUAAAGGCCUACCAAGGCGACGAUCCGUAACCGGUCUGAGAGGAGGAUCAGCCACACUGGAACGGAGACACGGUCCAGACUCCUACGGGAGUCAGCAGUGGGGAAUAUGGGACAAUGGGCGAAAGCCUGAUCCAGCCAUGCCGCGUGUGUGAAGAAGGUCUUCGGAUUGUAAAGCACUGUAAGUGGGGAUGCGUUACCAACAGAAUAAGCACCGGCUAACUUCGUGCCAGCAGCCGCGGUAAUUC